rnacentral:lncRNA from 1 species
CAGGAAGGUGACCAGGUAGAAUCUCCUUUCAAACUGCUUGAUGAAGACAUCCCAAGAUAGGACUCCUGGUGAUGAGGAGUGCGCUGCCUACACGCCUCUCUACCAAAUUUGAGCCUGUCCCUUUUAGCAGCUGUGUGCCAAAGCGAACCCGAUCUCCAUACACAAUCUCGAAGACAUUCAUCUUAUCCUCCACGUAAGUCAGCCAAUCUGCUGCCUCCACCGGAGUACCACUGCCAUCAAAAGAAUCCAUCUUCAUGCCCAUCCACUGCAUCAAAGAAAGACCACUGACUGGAAGAGGCACCUCAGCCCCGCCACCUGGAGCAGCACCCGCAGGGACAGCGCCCCCGGGCACUCCUCCACCACCAGCACCCUGAGCAGCACCCGCAGGGGCAACAGGAAUAGCUUGCCUCAGAAUGGCCAACUCCUGCUGCAUGGCCUGCAUCUUGGCUAACAUUGCCGCCGGACUCAUCGAGUCCCCACUAGGAACUUGCGGACUACCCCGAGCCCUAUGAGGCGGCAUAGCUGCAGACACAGGGGUGAGAAUAAUAAGUAAAUAAGAUUGGCAUAACAUUUAUUCAGAUAAUGUCAAACUAGCACAGACAAUAACAUAACAUAUCAAUAGUAAAGCAGAAAUCCCAUCCUACAUGUGCAGUGUGUCAAUUUAUUAUUACUCCACUUGCUAGGACCUACAGCCUAUGCCUCUGAUACCAACUAUAACACCCCCACUGGUCCCACACAUUGGAUGUUACCAAAUACCCUUCCCACUAAACUUAUGCAACACAAGAAAUGGAAUAGAAAGAGAAAGUAUUGCAAAAUUCGACAGCACCUCCCUUGAAAGAAGCAUAACAGGGGGGAAACAUGAAGUUCAUACAGGAUAUAAAAGACAGAUAAUUCACGUAGUAGAAUCUAAAUGCAAAAGUGCUGAAACACAUUCAUGACCAAAUAAAAGGAUAGGUAACUCAGCCCACCCCAAAAACAGUUCAACCACCAUGAAAAGCUAGAACAUAUUAAUUCCCUAGACUUGACCCUCCCUGAUUAACAACAUUAUUAAGCAGUGGUUCCUUUAUUAAAGGUGUAGUGGCCAUGCUGCUACAUCCCUCUUUUACCAAAGCAGAAAUCAGGUGCCUGCAUUAAACAAUGCAAGAGUGAGAUGACACAUCUCAGCAAGUAAACAGAGCAAACCACAAUUGGGCAAUGUAAACCAACUGUGCUUAAACAACCACAUAGUUCAAAACUUCCUUCUUGAAUAAUAAUUUGCAGCAAGUAAGCAAGUAACUAAUUACUUAACGCCAAGAAGAAUGACAAUGUAAAAAUCCACACUAUCCACAUCCACAUAAUAAAUUCCACACCUCUCUCAUGAGUGCACAUGGCUACAGAUGCAGUAAUGACUUCUGCCUUCAUUUCUCCGAGGAUAUGAAGCUGCAUCACACCCACCACAGGAGAAGAACAGGUGGUUCAGGAGGAGCAACACAACGAGGAGUUCGACUUGAUCUAGGUGGCGUCUCCUAGUUGACUUUAUGGCGCCAAGGAUGGACUUUAGUUCGUUUUAUAUUUAUCUUUUAUUGUGUAAGACUUCCGCUAUGUAAUAAGUACUAUGAUGUUAUUGUGAUAUUUAUCUCUAUACACUCUGUUAUUGUAACGCCCCAAUCCUCUGGGACUAAAAUGUGAUACAAUUACUAGUCCCAGGAGGCUAGUAAACACAUUUAUACAACAGAUGAUUCUAGAUCUGCUUAAACGAGACAAACCUAUAAAGGUGGUGAUCAACUUUAAGAGUUGGUCCACAACUCAGG